UUUUUUUUUAGGAGAGAGAGAGAGAGAGAGAGAGAGAGAGAAAGAAAGAAUUUUUUAACAUUUAUUUUUAGUUUUCGGUGGACACAACAUCUUUAUUUUAUGUGGUGCUGAGGAUCGAACCCAGCGCCGCACGCAUGCCAGGCGAGCACGCUACCACUUGAGCCACAUCCACAGCCCUUUUUUUAAAAAAAAUUUUUUUUAGUUAUACAUGGACAUAAUAUCUUUGUUUAUUUAUGUUUAUGUGGUGCUGAGGAUCGAACCCAUGUCUCACACGUGAGAGGCGAGUGCUUUACCGGCUGAGCCACAACCCCAACCCUGGCAACACCAUUUCUGACAUGAGUGUACAUAAUCUUUGUUUAUUCCAGUUAGUUUGUCAUGUUUCAUUGUGUUUAGUUAUGGGCUGCUACACCCCCUCAUCUCCUUAGCAGUGUUAUAUAAUUUAUGGUAUAUAUUAGCUUUCCAAAAUAAAAAAUAUAUAUGUCUGAAAUAUUUGGCCUGAGUGUUUUGGAUCAGGGAUUAUGGGCCUGUAUAUACAUAUCAAUAGCAGUGAUCACAGUGUGAUGUGGCAAUUUGUUCCCUUGUCUAUCUUCCUCGUUAGGCUAUGAGCUAGAAAACCUUUGCUUUUUGGAUCCAUCACCUUUAUCACCCUACACAGAGUAGAUGCUUAAUAUUGAAAUUGAAUCCUCAACAAGUACGUUAUUGAACAUGGAUUUUAUUUGUUUCUUGGUUUUCCUAUGUUCCCUUUUUUUUCCCAGCGAUCUCUUU
rnacentral:lncRNA from 1 species